rnacentral:tRNA from 1 species
AAACUGGUGGCUCAGAGGUUAAAGCGUCUGCCUGGAAUGCAGGAGACCCGGGUUUGAUCCCUGGGUUUG